CCAAGGCUAAAUACUCCUGACUGACCGAUAGUGAACCAGUACCGUGAGGGAAAGGCGAAAAGAACCCCGGCGAGGGGAGUGAAAAAGAACCUGAAACCGUGUACGUACAAGCAGUGGGAGCACGCUUCGGCGUGUGACUGCGUACCUUUUGUAUAAUGGGUCAGCGACUUAUAUUCUGUAGCAAGGUUAACCGAAUAGGGGAGCCGAAGGGAAACCGAGUCUUAACUGGGCGUUAAGUUGCAGGGUAUAGACCCGAGAA
rnacentral:rRNA from 1 species